UACGACUACAUAUCAGGCAUAUCAAUAAGGCGGAGGAAAAGAAACUAACUAGGAUUCCCUUAGUAACGGCGAGUGAAGCGGGAAGAGCUCAAAUUUGAAAUCUUCAAGGUUUACCUUGACGAAUUGUAGUUUAAAGAAGUGUUUUCUGUUGAAGUUUUGGUAAAAGUUCUUUGGAAUAGGACAUCAUAGAGGGUGAGAAUCCCGUAUUUGACCAUUAUUUCCAGCUUUGUGAUACACUUUCAAAGAGUCGGAUUGUUUGGGAAUGCAGUCCAAAAUGGGUGGUAAAUUUCAUCUAAAGCUAAAUAUUGGCGAGAGACCGAUAGCGAACAAGUACCGUGAGGGAAAGAUGAAAGGAACUUUGAAAAGAGAGUUAAACAGUACGUGAAAUUGUCAAAAGGGAAGCGUUUGACACCAGUGUUGUUUUCUCGAAAAUCAAUUAAAAAGAGUUGGAUUUUGUGUUGUAUUGACCUUAACAGCUUGCUUCACUCUUUUCCAGCUUUUUUUAAUGCACUUUUCGUUUAACAAGUCAACAUCAGUUUCUUUUGUUGUAAAAGGGUACAUUGGAAGGUGGCUUUCUCUUCGGAGAAAGUGUUUAUAGCCUUUGAUCUCUGCAAUCGGAGAGACUGAGGUCUGCAGCGUAGAUCCUUCGGGGUUAGAUACAUUUGUGCUAAGCUACAGCUUUUCAUAGACAACUUGUUGACUAUGUUUAGUCUUGUGACUUACCCGCUUAUGCUAUUUUACCUACGCUUAGGAUGUUGAGCGCAUGUCUCUCUCU
rnacentral:rRNA from 1 species